UAAGCCAGAAUGCAUUUGCUAGGCACAAUU
rnacentral:piRNA from 1 species